GUGCUCUCCUUGAUAGCACUUAUACUAAAAUUGGACUGAUACAGAGAUUCGCAUGGUCCUGCACAAAUAUGGCAUGCAAAUUCAUGAAGUGUUCCAUAUUUUU
ensembl:snRNA U6 U6 spliceosomal RNA